rnacentral:rRNA from 1 species
UACAGGGGGUGCAAACGUUGCUCGAAAUUAUUGGGCGUAAAGCGCGCGUAGGCGGCCACUUAAGUCGGAUGUGAAAGCCCCUGGCUCAACUGGGGAAGUGCACCCGAAACUGAGUAGCUAGAGUACUAAAGAGGGUCGCGGAAUUCCCGGUGUAGAGGUGAAAUUCGUAGAUAUCGGGAGGAACACCGGUGGCGAAGGCGGCGACCUGGGUAGAUACUGACGCUGAGGCGCGAAAGCGUGGGGAGCAAACAGG